GAUGAAGAACGCAGCGAAAUGCGAUAAGUAGUGUGAAUUGCAGAAUUCAGUGAAUCAUCGAAUCUUUGAACGCAUCUUGCGCUCCUUGGUAUUCCGAGGAGCAUGCCUGUUUGAGUGUCAUUAAAUUCUCAACUCCCUUUGAUUUCUUCAAGGGUGAGCUUGGAUUGGUGGAGGCUUUGCUGGCUGUAAAGUCAGCUCCUCUGAAAUGCAUUGGCAAAGGUUGUGUGCAUGAAAUAUGGCCUUUCGGUGUGAUAAUGAUCACUGUGGGCUGGUUGCUUUAACACCUAUGUCCAACUUUUUCCAGCUGGAAAAAAACACUUGACAACUUGACCUCAAAUCAGGUAGGACUACCCGCUGAACUUAAGCAUAUCAAUAAGCGGAGGA
rnacentral:misc_RNA from 1 species